UUCGAGCUAGGAUCGUUUCUCUCUCGAUCUUCAAGAGGUAAGAGCCGAUCUCUAGUUCUAAAUGUGUUUUAAGUAAGUUUUAUGCAAGUUUUUGGGGUAGAAAUGCAUGAGUAGGCUUGAUGGGUUUUUAUGAAAAAUCCAUGGUUUAAUGUGUGUUUAUGUGCAAUGUGGCUUGCUUGUGUGUUGUAGUUGGGGUUUAAGCUUGUUGGAGACCCCUAGGAGCUUGUAUGCUUGAGUAUGCUUGUUGUAGAAUAGGUUUAUGCAUGAUUGGUUGUGUAGGGGGUUGUUUUGGACAAAGAAAACCAAGUUUCUGCCCUUUGGCAGAAACCAGGUUCGGCAGCCGAAGGUACUUUCGGCCGCCGAACCAGCUUGGGAGGCAGCUUUAGGCUGCCGAAGCUUGCCCCCGAAAGUUUGAGUUUCGGCCUUGUCCGAGACUUUCGGCCGCCGAAGGUGCCGCCGAACAUGCAUGAGUUUCGUCUCUGUCUGGAAGUUUCGGCCGCCGAAGGUGCCGCCGAACCUGCCUGACUUUCGGCUCUGGAAGGACUUUCGGCCGCCGAAGGUGCCGCCGAAAGUGCCCUUCCCAGCCUUUUCUUGCAUGUUUUCUAGGGAUGUGUUGAGGUGUUUUUAGGAGGUUUUUGGGGGUAUGUUUAGAGUUAUGUUCUUGUUGUUUGGUGCCUCAUUCGAGUCCACCUGUGUAGGUUCGGACCCGAGGACCCGAGACCCCCGGUUGUGAGAUAGUCUUUCAGAGUCCGUCGUUAAAGCUUCGGUCACCAGGUGAGUGGGAUUAUUCCCUAAGUUUUUAAGUAAUGAAUGAAUGAACAAAUGAAUGAAUUUGAUAGCAUACUCAUGCAUCAUUAAUGCCAUGUGAUGUUCAGGAUGUUUGCAUUAGAAAUUCACGAAUAUGUUGCAUUGCAUAAUUUGAUGUUGAUGUGGAUGGUUAUUGGGUGAUCCAUAGUCCUCUAAUGUUAUGUUAUGAUGAUAUGUUAUGGAAGACCAGUGAGGCCCAUUCUACGCCCCUGGCAUUAUGUAAGAGAAAGACCAGCGAGGCCCAUUCUACGCCCCUGGCACUUUGGAAUGUUAUGUUAUGUAUGUUAUGUAAGAGAAAGACCAGCGAGGCCCAUUCUACGCCCCUGGCACUUGGAGAUGUGAGGACUAAUGGUGACAAUACCAUCCUUUAUGUGAUUAAAUGUGAUGUGUUGCAUUUCAUGAAAGCAUGUAAAGUAAAGGUUAUGUUAUUUUUAAUGUUAUUAAUAAAAUGAAUAAUAAUAUACCUAAAAAGUGUGGAAUUAAAGCAAAUGCUAAUAAUAAUAAAAUGAAGAAUAAAAUACCUAAAAAGGGAGGAAUUAAUAUCAUGUUUUUACUUUUUACUCACUGGGCUUUUUAGCUCACCCCUCUCCCCUAACCCCAGUCUUGCAGGUA
rnacentral:lncRNA from 1 species